AACUAACGCUGGCGGCGUGCCUAACACAUGCAAGUCGUACGAGAAAGCCGGCUUCGGCUGGUGAGUAAAGUGGCGCACGGGUGAGUAACGCGUGGAUAAUCUGCCCUUAAGUGUGGAAUAACGUACCGAAAGGUGCGCUAAUACCGCAUAAUGCCUGGCAACACAAGUUGUCCGGCCAAAGAAGGCCUCUGUUUACAAGCUUUCGCUUCAGGAUGAGUCCGCGUACCAUUAGCUUGUUGGUGGGGUAAUGGCCUACCAAGGCUGCGAUGGUUAGCUGGUCUGAGAGGAUGAUCAGCCACACUGGAACUGAGACACGGUCCAGACUCCUACGGGAGGCAGGCAGUGAGGAAUAUUGCGCAAUGGGGGCAACCCUGACGCAGCAACGCCGCGUGAGUGAGGAAGGUUUUCGGACUGUAAAGCUCUGUCGAGCGGGAAGAAGUGUACCAUGGCUAAUAUCCAUGAUAUUUGACGGUACCGCUAGAGG
rnacentral:rRNA from 1 species